GAGUUUGAUCUUGGCUCAGAACGAACGCUGGCGGCAUGCCUAACACAUGCAAGUCGAACGGGAUCCUGGCUUCGGCCAGGUGAGAGUGGCGGACGGGUGAGUAACACGUGGGAAUCUACCAUAAGGUGGGGAAUAACAGGCCGAAAGGUCUGCUAAUGCCGCAUAGUGUAGGCAUCUCGACAGAGGUGUUUAGUGAAAGGAGUAAUCCGCCUUUUGAUGAGCCCGCGUCCGAUUAGCUAGUUGGUAGGUAAAGCCUACCAAGCGACGAUCGGUAGGUGGUCUGAGAGGAUGGAUCACCCACAAUGGGACUGAGACACGGCCCAUACUCCUACGGGAGGCAGCAGUGGGAAUUUUACGCAAUGGGGGAACCCUAGACGUAGCGACACCGCGUGAGCGAAGAAGCCCUUUUGGGGUGUAAAGCCUCUGUCAACAGGAACGAAUCAAUGACGUACCUGUGGAGGAAGCAUCGGCUAACUACGUGCCAGCCGCCGCAGUAAG
rnacentral:rRNA from 1 species